UCAAUGCAGAGUGAUCCUAGCCUCCUUGACACAGUACUGGAGGUCCAAGCUGAAACGAGUAGUGGGACACAGCUGUGAGUGGACAGACGCUCAGAGAGGACACACAACCUGCGCUCUGAGUCUCUGACAGGAUGGACCAUGUCUAGCCAGGAUGAAUCCAUCUAGCUUUCCCAUGAGGCCACACUCUCCAUAGCAACAGCCCUGCACUGAGACUAGUAGUGGGACACAGCCAAGACCGGACACUGGUUCCGUGACAGAACCACACACUUGGACCCCGAGGGGCUUUCAGCAGACUCAACCCUGACAACCAACCAGCUCUCCCAUGAGGCCCCAUUCUCCAUGGGAGCUGGUCUGCCCCAGUGCAGUCGGAGUGUCUGACUGUGCACCUCAUGGAAAGAGGGGACCCUCACCAAGCACAGUAUCUGCUGCUGGGCUUUUACGCACACCGAGGUCAACAAACCCUUCCUCACACAGGAGAGAGGAGAGCCGGAUGUUUUUUUUUACAAGAUUAUGAUAAUUAAGCCUAAUACUAUGAAUUAUUAUUCAUCAAAUAAAGGCCUAUGAUCAAAGCAU